rnacentral:rRNA from 1 species
GGCAGGUCAGCAUACUGCCGUGAAUACGUUCCCGGGCCUUGUACACACCGCCCGUCACACCAUGAGAGUUGGGAAUACCCGAAGCCUGUGAGCUAACUUUUAGAGGCAGCAGUCGAAGGUAGAAUCAAUGAUUGGGGUGAAGUCGUAACAAGGUACC